CUGGUGAAGAACAUGUUUGAGGAAUUUUUAAAGGCAAAAGGGCUAGAUCAGAUCAAGGAUAAGAGAAAUGGACAGGCAGAUGAUGUACCGAAGGAUUCCCUCAGUAAAGGCGAGUGAACAGGGAAGAGCCCAGAGCUGAAUCCCCACCCCAUGGUGGGGUACAGGCCAUGUGGCUUAUGGAAGACCCACUCCAGGGUGCAGCUCUUGGUGGGGUCUCAAGUCCUUCUGAUUGAGGCACAGCCCAUGGACUGUGUGAGGCCAGUAGCAGCCUCUGGCUCACUGGGAAUGGGUCUUCUUAGAGUCGGGUUGCUUGGGAAUGCAGCCCAAAGCAGGUGGAAACUCCAUCUGAGGCAAAAUACUAGCACGAGACCGAUAAUCAACAAGUACUGUAAAGAAAAGUUGAAAAGAACUUUGAAGAGAGAGUUCAAGUGUGACAUCAG
rnacentral:ncRNA from 1 species